GCAGGGCUGCGGGGCGCGUCAGGAGCAAUUCGUUCCCGGGGGCCUAUAAGAUACGCACGGGAGCUGACCCUGAUCGGGACCGUGGUUCCGUUCACUCGGCGCCCACCUACGACAGUAGGGACCUUGCGGGAUCGUCGUCUCCAACGGCUCAGGCGGCUCUGCA
rnacentral:other from 1 species